rnacentral:rRNA from 2 species
AAAAACUUUCAACAACGGAUCUCUUGGCUCUGGCAUCGAUGAAGAACGCAGCGAAAUGCGAUAAGUAAUGUGAAUUGCAGAAUCUAGUGAAUCAUCGAAUCUUUGAACGCACAUUGCGCCCCUUGGUAUUCCGAGGGGCAUGCCUGUUCGAGCGUC